UCAAUUCAUGGAAGACGACUCGUUGCUUGAUUUGUUUUAUCUUGAAAAAGACAUCCCUGAAGAGCAGAGAAUCAAAAGGGUGCGCUUCAUGGAGCCCAAAGAGGAAACCGGAGGGCCUUUAGUAAGGAUAAGGCUUAGUUCAUGAGCACAGCUUUUGGGAGAAAAUGUCUAAUAAAAGCAUGAUGACUGAAUAUAAAAUGUUGGGGCUGUAAUUGAGAUUUCUGAUUGUAUAAUUUCAGCGAGAGCAAAUGAGCUCUAUGAUCUAAACUCCAAAUACUAUAAAGCCAGUUGCAGAUUAAAUUUGUUGUCCUUACUAAAGG
rnacentral:misc_RNA from 1 species